CUACGGGUUGCUCCAGCGAGGAAUAUUGCACAAUGGGGGGAACCCUGAUGCAGCAACGCCGCGUGGAGGAUGACGCAUUUCGGUGUGUAAACUCCUUUUAUAUGUCAAGAAAAUGACGGUAGCAUAUGAAUAAGCACCGGCUAACUCCGUGCCAGCAGCCGCGGUAAUACGGAGGGUGCAAGCGUUACUCGGAAUCACUGGGCGUAAAGGACGCGUAGGCGGGUUGGAAAGUCAGGUGUGAAAUCCUACAGCUUAACUGUAGAACUGCACUUGAAACUUCUAAUCUAGAGUAUGGGAGGGGGAGAUGGAAUUAGUAGUGUAGGGGUAAAAUCCGUAGAUAUCACUAGGAAUACCUAAAGCGAAGGCGAUCUCCUGGAACAUUACUGACGCUAAGGCGUGAAAGCGUGGGGAGCAAACAGGAUUAGAUACCCCGGUAGUC
rnacentral:rRNA from 1 species